UUUUAUAAGUAUUUGUAAAAUUUCUUUUUAUUUUUAAUUUUACUUGUUUUUUUUGAUUUUGGUAGAGUUUUUUGCUUUUUCUUUUUUGUACAUGAUAGUUUAUUGCUUACUCAUGUAUUAAUAUAAAAAUAUUUUCUUCCUUAAUGGAUUUUUAGGGUAGCUUCAGUAUAAAGAAUUGUUUUUUAAAUAUUUUUAGAAAAAAAAAAAGAAUAUAGAAACAGCUAAUUGUGUGCCAGCUGCUGCGGUUAUACACUUGUUUUAAGUAAAAAUAUUUGGUUAAAAAAAAGAAAUUGUUUUUUUUAGGAUUAAUUUUUUGAUUUUUAGGUAAAAUUUAAAUUAUUUUUUUUCUUUUGUUCUUUAUUAUUUUUUUUAUUCUUUUUUGGUUUUUUGGUGAGACCGGGAUUAGAUACCCCGUUAUUAAAAGAUUUUAUUUUUUCCUGGGUAUUAAAUAUUUUUAAACUCAAAAAAUUUGGCGGUUCUUUAUAUCCUUUUAGGGGAACCUGUUCUGUAAUUGAUGUUCCACGAGAAAGUUUAUUUUAUUUAUUUGUUUGUAUACUUCUGUUGUCAGUUUACUCUUUAGGACUUUUUAGUUUACUUUAAAAUUUAUUGUUUUUACAUCAAGUCAAAGUGCAGCUUAUAGUAAAGUAGAAAUGGGUUACGUUUUUUAUGUUUUUGGUUUUUUAUUUGGAAAAUAAAAAUAAUUUGGACUUACAAGUAAAAAUUUUUUAAUAAGUUUUUUUGAAUUAGGUUUUAGAGAGUGUACAAAUCGCCCGUCGCUCUUUCUGAUAAGUAAGAUAAGUCGUAACAUAGUAGUAAUAUCGGAAGUUGUUACUAGUUUCAA
rnacentral:ncRNA from 1 species